rnacentral:rRNA from 1 species
GACGAACGCUGGCGGCGUGCUUAACACAUGCAAGUCGAACGGAAAGGCCCUGCUUGCCGGGUACUCGAGUGGCGAACGGGUGAGUAACACGUGGGUGAUCUGCCCUGCACUUCGGGAUAAGCCUGGGAAACUGGGUCUAAUACCGGAUAGGAGCCAUUUUUAGUGUGAUGGUUGGAAAGUUUUUUCGGUGUAGGAUGAGCUCGCGGCCUAUCAGCUUGUUGGUGGGGUAAUGGCCUACCAAGGCGGCGACGGUAGCCGGCCUGAGAGGGUGGACGGCCACAUUGGGACUGAGAGACGGCCCAGACUCCUACGGGAGGCAGAAGGGGGGAAUAUUGCACAAUGGGCGCAAGCCUGAUGCAGCGACGCCGCGUGGGGGAUGACGGCCUUCGGGUUGUAAACUCCUUUCGCUAGGGACGAAGCUUUUUGUGACGGUACCUAGAUAAGAAGCACCGGCUAACUACGUG